CCAUUAACUACCUAGAUGAAUUAAAGUGGCCUGCUUUCUGGUACAGACUCCCUAUUUGCCAGAGAGGACUUCUUUUUUGCUGCAGAGCAGGGCAAAUAUCUGCUCUUUUCAUCUUCUGUGAAUUCCUUCCUCCCUUUCUAAGCCCCCUUAGCUCAGGAUGGUAUGUAAACCUUAGUGGCCGGACUGCCUUUGAGUUUCCUACCUUAGUGGAGCUCCUGUAUGUAUGAAAUUUUUCUUGUUACUGUCUUUUGUCAAUUAUUAGACAGGCCAAAGAACAGAGGGAAGGGAAAAUUUUUCUGCCCUUACAAUAUACACAUACCUGUCCACCUCAAAAAAGAGCUAUAACUUCUAAAGACCAGGAAUAAGAAUUUCUUGCACUGAAUUAAGAAUGGUCCCCAAUCUGACCCAGAAUGGUCCCCAAUCUGUGGGUCUAGAGACAACUUCAAGAAGCCUAUAAAUCCAAAAGUGUGUGAACCACGGUCCACAAGUCAAUGAAUUUGAAGGCAUUUUUGGCAAACCAGUUGAGCUUUUAACAAAGCUUUUAAAAUUAAGUCAGUUCAUUAUAAAACAAAUAUCAAGUGAACUAGAUAAUGAAAACUCAUUUUAUACUUCAAUACUCGAAGUUUUGGAGUGUUUAAAUGCAUAGCUGUUGUUUUGAUGGGGCCCUUACAUAUUCAAAAUCAGUAACUUUACAGCUGAUGGGUCACUUCAACUUUUCAUCUCCCUACUUCCGAACCAGAAUCAGGUACUUACAGUUCAGCAAAAUUCUUCCAGUCGUCUUCACUAAUGGAUGGCCUCGUGUGACCGAGCGCAGACAUUAAAUGCGACUGGCUAAUGGCCAGACUGGUUUUGACUGGUCCUGGUUGGUGAAAAGAGU